rnacentral:rRNA from 1 species
UACGAAGGUGGCUAGCGUUACUCGGAAUUACUGGGCGUAAAGCGCGUGUAGGCGGUGCGAUUAGUCAGGUGUGAAAUCCCAAGGCUUAACUUUGGAACUGCACUUGAAACUGUCGUGCUAGAAUUUGGUAGAGGAUAGUGGAAUUCCUAGUGUAGAGGUGAAAUUCGUAGAUAUUAGGAGGAACACCAGUGGCGAAAGCGGCUAUCUGGGCCAAUAUUGACGCUAAGACGCGAAAGCGUGGGGAUCAAACAGG